rnacentral:rRNA from 1 species
AACCGCUUAGAGGUAAACGGGUGUAGUCAAGCUGCAAGCUGUGAGAAAUCUCCGGGUCAGUUGGCGUGAGCCUGAGCACACUCUUAACGAGGACGGUGGUGGGUCUAUCCAUUCGGAUGGGUCAGGCGCGUAAGUGUCUGAUUGGUGUAUGCCAGCCUGCUAUCGGUGUUCGGCUGGCCCGGCCACUUUCUCAUUGCGUAAGUCACGACCAUCGUUGUCGUCGGUCCGCUUUGUCUAAACCGUGUUGCGGGUAACCUUGUGUUGUCUGCGAUGCGGGGGCAGGUAGCUGGUCUAGCUUCGCUAGGUCAGUGUAAUCUUGCUGGGCAGAGUGGGUUCAAACCGUGCGAUGCGAUGUGGCUAGCGGUGUCCGAUUGUUGGCUCGCCAAUGCUUGCUGGUAUAGCGUGGGUCUGGCUGCUUGUUGCUGUCUCCGACGGCCUUGUGGUGGCUCUGCUAUUGCUAGUAGGCGGCGUUGUUGAUGUCGGCUUUACGUUGUGCCUAUAGUCUGUGGCGUAGUGGUAGACGAUCCACCCGACCCGUCUUGUAACACGGACCAAGGAGUUUAACUUGUACGCGAGUCAAAGGGUAUUACGAAACCCCAUGGCGAAGUGAAAGUAAAAGGUCGACCUUGUGUCUUCCUGAGGUGAGAUCCUGCUGUUAUCAGGCUGCUUGGUCAGGUUGAUUGGUGGGCGCAUCACCGGCCCGUCCCAUGGUAUAGUACAGGCAACUGUGCGGUAUCGGGGCGGAGCAUGAGCGUACAGGUUGAGACCCGAAAGAUGGUGAACUAUGCUUGGGCAGGUUGAAGCCGGAGGAAACUCUGGUGGAGGACCGUAGCGAUUCUGACGUGCAAAUCGAUCGUAUGACCUGAGUAUAGGGGCGAAAGACUAAUCGAACCAUCUAGUAGCUGGUUCCCUCCGAAGUUUCCCUCAGGAUAGCUGGUGCUCAGAAUGUUUAACAGUUUUAUGCGGUAAAGCGAAUGAUUAGAGGUAUUGGGUCCUAAAUGGUCUCAACCUAUUCUCAAACUUUAAAUGCGUGAGAAGCUGGACUCGCUUAAUUGGAGUACGGCAGUUGAAUGUGAGUGCCAAGUGGGCCAUUUUUGGUAAGCAGAACUGGCGCUGUGGGAUGAACCAAACGCCUGGUUAAGGUGCCUAACACUACGCUCAUGAGAUACCACAAAAGGUGUUGGUUGAUAUAGACAGCAGGACGGUGGACCUGGUAGUAGUAAUCCGCUAAGGAGUGUGUAACAACUCACCUGCCGAAUCAACCAGCCCUGAAAAUGUAUGGCGCUGGAGCGUUGGACCUAUACCGGGCCGGUUGUGCAAGCCGGGCUCAAGCUGGUAACCCCAGCCUGAUUUACGCAUACAUAGUCCGGGCAAGAAUGUGCAACCGAGUAGGAGGGUCGCCGUGGUGAGCUGAGAAGCCUCGGGCGUAAGCUUGGGUGGAGCCGCCACGGGUGCAGAUCUUGGUGGUAGUAGCAAUUAAUCAAGUGAGAUCCUUGAUGGCCGAAGUGGAGAAGGGUUCCAUGGGAACAGUAGUUGACCAUGGGUCAGGCGGUCCUAAGUGAAGUGAUAACUCACUAUGCAGCCGGGGUGACGGGCGUAUGCCUGCCAAAUAUGGUUGUUGCUUGCAUCAGCCCCCUAGCAGCGAAAGGGAAUCAGGUUAAUAUUCCUGACCCUGCCCACGGAGAUUGGUCUAGUUGCUUCGGUGACUAACCUAGCGCGGUAACGCAAACCGACCCUGGAUACGGCGGCGAGAGCUCUGGGAAGAGUUUUCUUUUCUUUGUUAAGAGUGCACCGACCCUGGAAUCGAAUUGUUCGGAGAUAGGGUUACCGCCUCUGUAAAGCAUCACAUUUGUUGUGGUGUCCGGAUCACUCUCGCUGUCCCUUGAAAAUCCAGGCAAGGCAAUAUAAUUUUCGUGGCAGGCCGUACCCAUAUCCGCAUCAGGUCUCCAAGGUGAACAGCCUCUGGCUAUUGAACAAUGUAGGUAAGGGAAGUCGGCAACCUAGAUCCGUACCUUCGGAAAAAGGAUUGGCUCUGAGGGCUAUGUUGUGCGGGCUGUCGUUUGACCCGAUUUUGGAGUGUUGGGAGCCGACCGUAUAGAGACUGCACGGGCUUCGGCCUAUGUGGUUGACGUAUAGUUGGAGCUCAUACAUUCUGAUCGGUAAGGGCGGCGGCUGGUGGGUCGUGCUAUACGGGUGUUGUGUGGCAGCAAUGUCAUGCAGUGCUUGGUGCGGUUCUCAUCGUGCAACGUCAAAUAGCCAACUCAGAACUGGCACGGACCCGGGGAAUCCGACUGUCUAAUUAAAACAAAGCAUUGCGAUGUUCGUUGAUCGGUUUUGACGCAAUGUGAUUUCUGCCCAGUGCUCUGAAUGUUAACGUGAAGAAAUUCAAUCAAGCGCGGGUAAACGGCGGGAGUAACUAUGACUCUCUUAAGGUAGCCAAAUGCCUCGUCAUCUAAUUAGUGACGCGCAUGAAUGGAUGAACGAGAUUCCCACUGUCCCUACCUACUAUCUAGCGAAACCACAGCCAAGGUAGCCAAAUGCCUCGUCAUCUAAUUAGUGACGCGCAUGAAUGGAUUAACGAGAUUCCUACUGUCCCUAUCUGCUUCUAGCGAAACCACAGCCGAGGGAACGGGCUCGGCGAAAUCGGCGGGGAAAGAAGACCCUGUUGAGCUUGACUCUAUUCUAAUUUUGUGAAGCAAGUUGGGAGGCGUAGCAUAGGUGGGAGCGCUUGCGCGUCCGUGAAAUACCACUACUCCCAGUCUUGCUUUACUUACUGGGUUGGUGUGGAUGAGUUUUACGACUCUAUUCUAGAACCAAUGUGCGUUUGUGCAGACCACAGCCCAGCACACAUUUAGGAGGGGAGUUUGGCUGGGGCGGCACAUCUUCUACAAGACAACGAAGGUGUCCAAAGAUGAGCUCAGUGAGAACAGAAAUCUCACGUAGCGCAAAAGGGUAAAAGCUCGUUUGAUUUUGAUUUUCAGUGCGAGUCGAAAACGCGAAAGCGUGGCCUAUCGAUCCUUUCACGAUUCGAGAUUUGAAGCGAAGGGGAACGGGCUUGGCAGAAUCAGCGGGGAAAGAAGACCCUGUUGAGCUUGACUCUAGUCUG